UAAUACGGGGGGAGCAAGCGUUGUUCGGAUUUACUGGGCGUAAAGGGCGCGUAGGCGGCCACCGCAAGUCGACUGUGAAAUCUCCGGGCUUAACCCGGAAAGGUCAGCCGAUACUGCGGGGCUAGAGUGCAGAAGGGGCAACUGGAAUUCUCGGUGUAGCGGUGAAAUGCGUAGAUAUCGAGAGGAACACCUGCGGCGGAGGCGGGUUGCUGGGCUGACACUGACGCUGAGGCGCGAAAGCUAGGGGAGCGAACG
rnacentral:rRNA from 1 species